rnacentral:misc_RNA from 1 species
GAUGAAGAACGUAGCGAAAUGCGAUACGUAAUGUGAAUUGCAGAAUUCAGUGAAUCAUCGAAUCUUUGAACGCACAUUGCGCCCGCCAGUAUUCUGGCGGGCAUGCCUGUUCGAGCGUCAUUACAACCCUCAGGCCCCCGGGCCUGGCGUUGGGGAUCGGCGGAAGCCCCCUGCGGGCACAACGCCGUCCCCCAAAUACAGUGGCGGUCCCGCCGCAGCUUCCAUUGCGUAGUAGCUAACACCUCGCAACUGGAGAGCGGCGCGGCCACGCCGUAAAACACCCAACUUCUGAAUGUUGACCUCGAAUCAGGUAGGAAUACCCGCUGAACUUAAGCAUAUCAAUAAGCGGAGGA